rnacentral:rRNA from 1 species
UACGUAGGCAGCGAGCGUUGUUCGGAGUUACUGGGCGUAAAGCGUGCGUAGGCGGUGUCUUAAGUUUGUUGUGAAAUCUCCCGGCUUAACCGGGAGGGUGCGGCGAAUACUGGGAUGCUGGAGUGCCGGAGAGGUAAGCGGAAUUCCUGGUGUAGCGGUGAAAUGCGUAGAUAUCAGGAGGAACACCUGCGGUGUAGACGGCUUACUGGACGGUAACUGACGCUGAGGCACGAAAGCGUGGGUAGCAAACAGG